rnacentral:sRNA from 1 species
UUUAAAUUCUUUCAUCAAUAAAAAAAUGGGUAAUAUUAGAGGAUAACCAAAUUUGACAGCAUAAUUAAGAAAAUAGCUUUCGUACAGAAAAGUUGGGUAAAUAACUUUUUUGAGCCUGCAAAAUAACUAUUUUACCCUUUACAGAUGAGAGAAACUCUUUCUUUCCGACAAUAGCUGCUACAUCUAGGGAACAAAAGACAAUAUGAAGUAAUGAUUACACCGCUACUUCUUAAAAAAUCAUUCAAUAUUAGACCACUACUUAUUAAAAUCACACGCAAUAUCUCUUAUACUUU